rnacentral:rRNA from 1 species
UACGUAGGGUGCAAGCGUUGUCCGGAAUUAUUGGGCGUAAAGAGCGUGUAGGCGGUUUGGUAGGUUCCGUUGUGAAAACUCGAGGCUCAACCCUCGAGACGCCGGAUGGAAACCAUCAGACUAGAGUCCGGAAAGAGGAGAGUGGAAUUCCGUGGUGGUAGCGGUGAAAUGCGCAGAUAUCAGGAAGAACACCCGUGGUUAAGGCGGCUCUCUAGUACCGGUACUGACGCUGAGACGCGAAAGCGUGGGGAGCGAACAGG